GAAGUGCAUUGACCCAAGGGAACGAUUCUUGUUGAAUGGGAGAAAGGCCUUCCAGAAGAACUGCACGGAGACUCACUAUCUUGACCUUCCCAUCAUGCUUCAGGCACAGACUCAAGUUGUGCAGAGUGAUCCUCAGUAGGAGGCAAGCUGCCAAUUCUCCUUAGCUCCUACUUUCUACAGAGGAGGUCAUCUAUACAUAUAGGAACUAUAAAGGAGCCCAACUGGAACAAACAAACGAACGACAAAUAGGCUAACCUCAACUGUACCCUAGGACCUCCUACUAGUGUGGUAUGAAAUAGUCACACAGAAGGUGGUUUUGGUAAGGGCAAAACUUCCUUCCAGCCUGAUAUCUAACUGUGCUAGGAAGAGGAAUGCACAGCAAAAGAAAAGGCGCCCCAGAGCACCCUCGCUUAUACAGCAGAAUUCAUACAGUAGCAGGGGCUACAAACCAACUGGUAAGACAUGGAUUGCAAGAUCAGCUCAGAAGAGAGAGAGGGCCACUGAUUUGCAUCUUCAGUCUUCAUAAACAAAGCAAGUCACCUUUGCCUUUCUGGAACUUCUCCAUAUGCUUACCUAGAAGUUCGCCUGGUGAUAGCCUGCAGCAGAGUUGAAGGCCAAGGGAGAACUAAGCGAUCUGGACCUAGAAGAGACAGCGCUGUGAGCAGCAGAGAGUGCUGGGGGCUGAGAGCCAGCUAUUAUGAGAAGGAAGUCCCAUUUUCCGAGUUUUAACUUUGAAAAAUCACAAUACGUUUUUCUAUGUUGUCAACAAACUUCAGUAAAGAACACUUUACUGAGUGUUGAA
rnacentral:lncRNA from 1 species